AGUGAACGCUGGCGGUAGGCCUAACACAUGCAAGUCGAACGGCAGCACAGUAAGAGCUUGCUCUUACGGGUGGCGAGUGGCGGACGGGUGAGGAAUACAUCGGAAUCUACUUUUUCGUGGGGGAUAACGUAGGGAAACUUACGCUAAUACCGCAUACGACCUACGGGUGAAAGCAGGGGAUCUUCGGACCUUGCGCGAUUGAAUGAGCCGAUGUCGGAUUAGCUAGUUGGCGGGGUAAAGGCCCACCAAGGCGACGAUCCGUAGCUGGUCUGAGAGGAUGAUCAGCCACACUGGAACUGGGCCACGGUCCAGACUCCUACGGGAGGCAGCAGUGGGGAAUAUUGGACAAUGGGCGCAAGCCUGAUCCAGCCAUACCGCGUGGGUGAAGAAGGCCUUCGGGUUGUAAAGCCCUUUUGUUGGGAAAGAAAAGCAGCAGGUUAAUACCCCGCUGUUCUGACGGUACCCAAAGAAUAAGCACCGGCUAACUUCGUG
rnacentral:rRNA from 1 species